rnacentral:lncRNA from 1 species
GAGGUAAAGAGAAAGAGGUCCGUCUCCGGGCCAAAAGCUCACCGCGACGACGAUGGCGGGCGAGGAAAACCGUCGGCCAGGACUAACUUCGGCGAGGAAUUGCGACGGCGUGGGCGCGGGUGGAGUGAGGGGGUGCGGGGGAAAAUGAGAGAGAGGGGGAGGGGCUCUUUAUAGUGACGCGGGGGAGGGGCCUUCACUCGCGCUCUAAAUCGCGAAUUGAAGACGAGGUUUGAUGGAGGCGCUCGCUAGAUUCCCGGACCGAGGUUGAAGACGACCUGAUAGGUGGGUCCCACCUGUUAGUGUCCGUUGGACCGAGGGUGGCGGCUGGCUGGGCCGGCUGGGCGAGCGCGCAGGCACGUGUGCGCGGGCGCUGACUAGGCCGGUUCGGCUCAUUUGGCCAGGCCAGGCCGGUUUCCCUUUUUUUUGUUCCUUUUCUUUUCUCCUUUUCUUUUUCUGUUUUUCCUUUAAAUCCUUUGAUUUUGAACUCCAAAUGACCUCAAAUAAAUUUCAGAAAAUUUGUAAAAUCGUAUCCUUUAAUGCCAAAGCAUCUGGGACUUGAUUUCCUCCAAAAGCAAAUUAUUAAAAAUAGUUUUGCUUAUAUAAUUGCCUCUAGUGCAAUAAUAUUUAGAAAUAAAAUAGUUUUUCAACUCCAAAAUAAAUUCCAAAAAUUAUGGGGUAGCUCAUCCUAUUGCGUUAAACCCCUUUCUAUUGUUUUCAACCCCAUGGGUUGAUAAAUUCCAACAAGAUGCAAGGUAAAAGUUUAAAAUGGUAAAAGGCUUGAUAAAAUGUUUUAAAAAAAAAAUUAAAUCUUUGGUUUAAAGGUGCUCAAAAUGCAUAAAUGAUAUGAUGCUC